rnacentral:snoRNA from 12 species
CUGGUUAUGAUGCAUCAAAUACAUCUGACUGCUAUUGAUGGUGUUUGUAUUCAUACUGUCUGAUCCAG